UUGGAGGGCAAGUCUGGUGCCAGCAGCCGCGGUAAUUCCAGCUCCAAUAGCGUAUAUUAAAGUUGUUGCAGUUAAAAAGCUCGUAGUUGAAUUUCGGGAUCAGUUGGUCGGUCGUGCCUCGGUACGUACUGGUCAAAUUGAUUCCUACCUUCUGACGAACCACGAUGUCAUUAAUUUGGUGUCGCGGGAAAUCAGGACUGUUACUUUGAAAAAAUUAGAGUGUUUAAAGCAGGCUCGCGCUAGAAUACAUUAGCAUGGAAUAGUGAAAUAGGACGUUUGAUUCUAUUUUGUUGGUUUCUAGGAUCGACGUAAUGAUUAAUAGGGAUAGUUGGGGGCAUUAGUAUUCAAUUGUCAGAGGUGAAAUUCUUGGAUUUAUUGAAGACUAACUACUGCGAAAGCAUUUGCCAAGGAUGUUUUCAUUAAUCAAGAACGAAAGUUAGGGGGAUCGAAGACGAUCAGAUACCGUCGUAGUCUUAACCAUAAACUAUGCCGACUAGGGAUCGGAUGAUGUUAAUUUUUAAUGACUCAUUUCGGCGCCUUAC
rnacentral:rRNA from 1 species